CUACGGGUUGCUCCAGUGAGGAAUUUUGCGCAAUGGGGGGAACCCUGACGCAGCAACGCCGCGUGAGUGAUGAAGGCUUUCGGGUCGUAAAGCUCUGUCAAGUGGGAAGAACCUAUGCAGUGUUAAUAUCACUGUAUACUGACGGUACCACUGAAGGAAGCACCGGCUAACUCCGUGCCAGCAGCCGCGGUAAUACGGGGGGUGCAAGCGUUAUUCGGAAUCAUUGGGCGUAAAGGGCACGUAGGCGGCUUGGUAAGUCAGAUGUGAAAGCCCGGGGCUUAACCCCGGAAGUGCAUUUGAUACUGUCAGGCUUGAGUAUGGGAGAGGGAAGUGGAAUUCCUGGUGUAGAGGUGAAAUUCGUAGAUAUCAGGAGGAACACCGGUGGCGAAGGCGACUUCCUGGACCAAUACUGACGCUGAGGUGCGAAGGCGUGGGUAGCAAACAGGAUUAGAUACCCCCGUAGUC
rnacentral:rRNA from 1 species